rnacentral:rRNA from 1 species
UACAGAGGUCUCAAGCGUUGUUCGGAUUCAUUGGGCGUAAAGGGUGCGUAGGCGGCGCGGUAAGUCGGGUGUGAAAGUCAAGGGCUCAACCCUUGAAUGCCGGCCGAUACUGCCGGGCUAGAGUCCGGAAGAGGUGAGUGGAACUCCUGGUGUAGCGGUGAAAUGCGCAGAUAUCAGGAGGAACACCGGUGGCGAAGGCGGGUCUCUGGGCCGAUACUGACGCUGAGGAGCGAAAGCGUGGGGAGCGAACAGG